GCGAUCAUAUCAGCACUAAUGCACCGGAUCCCAUCAGAACUCCGCAGU
rnacentral:rRNA from 1 species